rnacentral:rRNA from 1 species
CUUGGUUCAGGAUGAACGCUAGCGACAGGCCUAACACAUGCAAGUCGAGGGGCAGCACAAGGAGCAAUCUGAGGUGGCGACCGGCGCACGGGUGAGUAACACGUAUGCAACCUGCCUGUAAGCGGGGAAUAACCCGUUGAAAGACGGACUAAUACCGCAUAAUACUAAAUUACUGCAUGGUAAUUUAUUUAAACAUUUAUGGCUUACAGAUGGGCAUGCGCAUGAUUAGCUAGUUGGAGAGGUAACGGCUCCCCAAGGCAACGAUCAUUAGGGGUUCUGAGAGGAAGGUCCCCCACACUGGUACUGAGACACGGACCAGACUCCUACGGGAGGCAGCAGUGAGGAAUAUUGGUCAAUGGACGAGAGUCUGAACCAGCCAAGUCGCGUGCAGGAAGAAUGUCCCUAUGGAUUGUAAACUGCUUUUGCAGGGGAAUAAAGUGCAUCACGUGUGAUGUUUUGUAUGUACUCUGCGAAUAAGGAUCGGCUAACUCCGUGCCAGCCGCAGC